rnacentral:snoRNA from 1 species
UGGUAGUGAUGAUAAAUUUAAGGCUUGUUUCUCAAAACAUUUGCAGUUUCGCCUAAGAGCUUUUGCCUUGCCAGGCUUGAGAGCUGAUGCUGCUUAUUCCUUCCUUGCACUA